rnacentral:rRNA from 1 species
UACGGGGGGGGCAAGCGUUGUUCGGAAUUACUGGGCGUAAAGGGCUCGUAGGCGGCCAACUAAGUCGGAUGUGAAAUCCCCAGGCUUAACCUGGGAACUGCAUCCGAUACUGGAUGGCUUGAAUCCGGGAGAGGGAUGCAGAAUUCCAGGUGUAGCGGUGAAAUGCGUAGAUAUCUGGAGGAAUACCGGUGGCGAAGGCAGCUCGCUGGGACGUUACUGACACUGAGGCGCGAAAGCGUGGGGAGCGAACAGG